rnacentral:rRNA from 1 species
AUGCAAGUCGAACGGAAAGGCCCUGCUUUUGUGGGGUGCUCGAGUGGCGAACGGGUGAGUAACACGUGAGUAACCUGCCCUUGACUUUGGGAUAACUUCAGGAAACUGGGGCUAAUACCGGAUAGGAGCUCCUGCUGCAUGGUGGGGGUUGGAAAGUUUCGGCGGUUGGGGAUGGACUCGCGGCUUAUCAGCUUGUUGGUGGGGUAGUGGCUUACCAAGGCUUUGACGGGUAGCCGGCCUGAGAGGGUGACCGGCCACAUUGGGACUGAGAUACGGCCCAGACUCCUACGGGAGGCAGCAGUGGGGAAUAUUGCACAAUGGGCGGAAGCCUGAUGCAGCAACGCCGCGUGCGGGAUGACGGCCUUCGGGUUGUAAACCGCUUUCGCCUGUGACGAAGCGUGAGUGACGGUAAUGGGUAAAGAAGCACCGGCUAACUACUGGGCCCAGCAGCCAA